rnacentral:rRNA from 1 species
AACGAACGCUGGCGGCAUGCCUAACACAUGCCAGUCGAACGAGACCUUCGGGUCUAGUGGCGCACGGGUGCGUAACGCGUGGGAACCUGCCCUUAGGUUCGGAAUAACUCCCCGAAAGGGGUGCUAAUACCGGAUAAUGUCUUCGGACCAAAGAUUUAUCGCCUUUGGAUGGGCCCGCGUUGGAUUAGCUAGUUGGUAGGGUAAAAGCCUACCAAGGCGACGAUCCAUAGCUGGUCUGAGAGGAUGAUCAGCCACACUGGGACUGAGACACGGCCCAGACUCCUACGGGAGGCAGAAGUGGGGAAUAUUGGACAAUGGGCGAAAGCCUGAUCCAGCAAUGCCGCGUGAGUGAUGAAGGCCUUAGGGUUGUAAAGCUCUUUUACCCGGGAUGAUAAUGACAGUACCGGGAGAAUAAGCUCCGGCUAACUCCGUG